rnacentral:rRNA from 1 species
UACAGAGGUCUCAAGCGUUGUUCGGAUUCAUUGGGCGUAAAGGGUGCGUAGGUGGCGAGGUUAGUCAGGUGUGAAAUCUCGGGGCUCAACCCCGAAACUGCACUUGAUACUGCCUUGCUAGAGUACUGGAGAGGAGAUUGGAAUUUACGGUGUAGCAGUGAAAUGCGUAGAUAUCGUAAGGAAGACCAGUGGCGAAGGCGGUUCUCUGGGCCUUACCUGACACUGAGGAGCGAAAGCGUGGGGAGCGAACAGG